GCUUUUAAUUAUAUAAACUUUGAAAGUUUAUUUUGAGACUUAUCUCUAAAGGCU
rnacentral:tRNA from 1 species